CGCUAAUCUCUUCACUCCCACCACUACUACUCCAGCACAAAAAACCUCGUCUCCUCCUCCUCCUCUCUCUCGAGCUCAUCUCCAUUUUCAAAUCUCUCUUUGCUUGCUCGAGGUGAGCCAUGGCGGAGCUGCCGCUGGCGGCGGGGCUGCUCGACCUGCGCCCCUGCAAGCUCGCCCCUCCCCCUCCCCCGCCCCUCCCCGUCUCCCCCUCCCCUCGCCACCACCGCCGCCCCCACUCCACCGCCACCGCCUGCCGCGCCGCCCCCGACCUCCACUCCUCCACCGAGCUCGCCGACGGGAGCAUCGUCUUCCGCUUCGCGCGCCCCCGGGACGACGACGACGAGGAGCAGCAGCAGCGGCGGGCGGACGCCGUGGCUCCCGAGGCCGCGGCCGUCGUCGAAUCAGGGCUCGACGGUGACGCCGCCGCAGCUGCUGAACCUGAGGCCCGGGAUGGCGGUGGAGAAGGGGAGGUGACGGCGACGGCGACGGGUUUGGACGCGGAGGAGGUGGUGGCGAGUGGAGGAGCGGAGGCGACGGCGACCUCCGGUUUGGAGGAUGCGGGGGAGGAGGCCUCGGAUGGCUCCACCGCGCGGGAUUCCGACACCGACGUCGACACCGAGUCCAGCGCCUCCACCGCCGCCGACGACGACCAGCCCGCCGAGUUCGCCGUCCCGCCGCCACCGGCGGAAGAAGUUUGUAACAAGGUAGAUUGGGAAAAGGACACUUCAGAGGUGAAGAAUACUGAUAGGAUGGUUCCAGUAGCCUCAUCAACGCUUGUGUUGGCAUCAGGUGCUGCGAUCUUGCCUCAUCCUUCUAAGGCAGCAACAGGUGGAGAAGAUGCAUAUUUUAUUGCGUGUGAUGGCUGGUUUGGUGUGGCUGAUGGAGUUGGCCAGUGGUCAUUUGAAGGUAUCAAUGCAGGGCUUUAUGCAAGGGAGCUAAUGGAUGGUUGUAAAAAGUUCAUUAUGGAGAAUCAAGGCGCUGCAGAUAUUAAACCCGAACAAGUUCUUUCCAAGGCUGCAGAUGAAGCGCACUCUCCUGGUUCUUCCACUGUUUUGGUUGCUCACUUUGAUGGCCAGUUCCUCAAUGCAUCGAAUAUUGGAGACUCUGGAUUUCUGGUGAUAAGAAAUGGAGAGGUGUACCAAAAAUCAAAACCAAUGGUUUAUGGUUUCAACUUUCCACUGCAAAUUGAGAAGGGCGAUAAUCCCCUGAAACUUGUACAGAAUUAUACAAUUGAGCUGGAGGAUGGUGAUGUCAUUGUAACAGCAAGUGAUGGUCUUUUUGACAAUGUGUAUGAGCAAGAAGUAGCCACCAUGGUCUCGAAAUCUUUACAAGCCGAUCUCAAACCAACGGAGAUUGCUGAACACCUGGCUGCCAAGGCGCAGGAAGUUGGUAGAUCUGCAGCCGGAAGUACCCCAUUCUCAGAUGCCGCUCUUGCAGUGGGGUACCUGGGUUUCAGCGGGGGCAAACUCGAUGACAUAGCCGUCGUCGUGUCCAUUGUCAGGAAAUCUGAAAUCUAAAUUGUAAAAGACAUCCAUGAUCCAUGAUGUCCCCCUCUCAAGUUUGGUUGAAGCUGCACUCCUAGCCUCCUAGCAAGGUGCACCACACUCAUCAAUAUAUUGUACAACCAGAAGUGCAGCUGCUGAAAAAGACUAUCUGUGAGCGAGGAGCAAGAGGCCAUUAACCUGUGAAAUGAAUGCACUCACAAGAGGAGCCUUGCUGAGGUAGCUCAGGAUGGUAGCCACUGGAUGGAAAGAAUGGUACUUAUCCUGCACAAUGAGCAGAACGGACAGUAGAUUCAGAGAGUUCGUUGUCAGAGAUGAACUGGGUCCAUUCCAAUAUCUGUGCAAGAUGUGAUUGCAUUGCUGUUGUUACCUGGUCUUCAGCUUUGAGCUGGAUCCUGGUGCUGAGCUCGGCGAGGAGGACGAGGUCGAGGAUGAUGGGCGCGGCGAGGAGCGAGUCCUCGCAGGUGUUGUGCAGCACGAUGGUGUUCUUCCCUCCCAUGAAGAUCUCCGAGGUGUACUCGUCCAUGGCCCUCUUGCUGUCCCCAACGUAUGGAAUAUACUGCAACAAUUAACAAUUACUCAAUAGAAACAGCAACCAAAUCAUCAGCCA